rnacentral:snRNA from 1 species
AUACUUACCUGGCAGGGGAGACACCAUGAUCAAGUAGGGUGGUUCACCCAUUGCGAGGCUCGGCCAUUGCACUUCCGGCCGUGCUGACCAGUGUGAAUUCCCCAAAUGUGGGAAUCUCAACUGCAUAAUUUAUGGGAGUGGGGGACUGCGUUCGCGCUCUCCCCUG